rnacentral:lncRNA from 1 species
AGUUGCAGUGUGUCCAGGGUGAUCAGGAGGAUUCUGGAAAUCCUUCCAAAUGGGAAGCAAUGAAACGAACAAGGAACAUUUAUACUGCAGAAGAGAAAUGAUGUUGGAGAGAGGAACGUGGUGUAUGAUAGUCACUGUACAUAGCUGUGAGAUUGAUGUGAUGAGGUAGGUGUAGACUUUUACCUGACAUUUCUCAUGGUAUUAAUCAAUUAACUGAUCAGUUAUUUAGCCCCUCCUCUGUGCUAGGUACUAGGAAUGCAAAGACAAAUGAGUUCCUAUCACUACUCUUAGGAGCUCCCAAUCUAGAAUUAUGAAUUACAGCUAAUGAUGGUAAUUAUAAGGUGGCAGACUUCAGUUUAAUCUAAGAAAGAACUUGCCAAUGUUUAAAGACGUUGAAAGUGGGAUAGACGAUGUGGAACGGAUGUGAGCUUUUAGAGUUGUAGUGACCAAAAUUCAAAACCUGGCUGUACUAUUCUACACGUUUUCUCUUGAGUACAGCCUUCAGCCUGUGCCAUGUGGGAAGAUAGAUAACUUGAUAGAAAAUAUGUAUCUUGGUUGGCUUGGAUAACCAGAGACUAGAGUUCAGGACAACCUUAGCUGCUGGAAGGAGUGGGGUCUCUGAAAGGAGUGAGCCACAGAGUGGAGCCCCAAAUUCCAUGUAUAAAAUCUACCUAAAUCUAAGCUGGACUUUGAACUUCAUGUGUGGUGCAGAUUCCACACUGGCUAGAUAAGGCUGAAACAAUUGAACUGAAAUAUGUCAGUCUUGAAAAAAUUGUGAACAGGGAUGCAGGGAUCAGUGGGACAAUAUCAGAAGCUCUAAUACAUGUUGUCAUAGGAUGGGGUGGGGGUGAAUGAAAAAAUAAUGGCUGAAAAUAUCCCAAAUUUGAUGAAUGAUAUAAAUGUAGAGUCAAGAAGCUCAAUCAUUAAGCAGGAUUAAUUUAAUGAAAACCACACCCAGGCGCAUCUUAGUUAAACUUCCAA